rnacentral:sRNA from 1 species
AUCCGACGGCAAAAGGAGAAUUAAGAUUUUUAACUUUA